GCGUGAUCACCGCCGAAUCGGCCUGUCGGGGAGCCGAACCGGGGACCCAGUGAGUUGGGGUGAAUCCGGCCCAGCGCCGGUAGGGCAGCUUCCGGCCCGAACCCGUCAGCUAACCCGGUAGGCGGUCGGAGCAUGAAGGA
rnacentral:sRNA from 2 species